rnacentral:rRNA from 1 species
AGUGCAGGCGGUUGCGUGUGUCGGGUGUGAAAGCCCCGGGCUUAACCUGGGAAUGGCAUCCGAAACUGCGUGACUAGAAUAUGGUAGAGGAAGACGGAAUUCCACGUGUAGCGGUGAAAUGCGUAGAUAUGUGGAGGAACACCAAUGGCGAAGGCAGUCUUCUGGGCCUAUAUUGACGCUGAGGCUCGAAAGCGUGGGUAGCAAACA